CUGAAUGCGUGGCCUUCGGGCCCGUCUUCUUCACCCUGUGUCUACCUUCCAGGUGCCGCGGGGACGUCUCGGUUCGCCGAGGCGUCGUCCGGCGCCGCAAACUCUGGUGACGAUGCGUCGUAGACAAAUCUAAUCCUUAUA
rnacentral:misc_RNA from 1 species